rnacentral:sRNA from 1 species
AAGUGACUGAUCCGAAGAGCUGGCGUCCGGGGUGUGAGGCUGGCCGCGCAGGAUUCGUAGGCGCCCCCGUGUGUCCUUCUGGGUCCGCCCAUCGUG